rnacentral:lncRNA from 1 species
GAAUUGUUUUGAUCAAAUCUUAGCCGUCUGAAGUGCGAUUUGGACGAUUUCAGACUUGUUUCCAGCUAAUUUGAUCAUUUCGGAUGCAAUGGUAUGGUCCGAUCGUUGAGAUUUGAGACCGAAAGUGGUAGUGAUGAAUUAACAAAAGAGAUUGCCCGAUCAGGAGGCAUCUGAAGGUCAUCAUGGUGGUCGUUGAAGAGAAGAAGAAGAAGGUGCACAUGUUUACCCAAUUACAUGUGCUGAACUGCUAAGUGGGGAGAAAUUUAACUGCCUUGAGGGAAGGCAAAAUUGGGACACUCUCGACACCCGAUCAAGUGGACAAUUAGAGGUGUAGAGUGAAAACUGAUGAAGACCAAU